AGCGAACGCUGGCGGCAGGCCUAACACAUGCAAGUCGAACGGAUCCUUCGGGAUUAGUGGCGGACGGGUGAGUAACACGUGGGAACGCGCCUUUUGGUUCGGAACAACUCAGGGAAACUUGAGCUAAUACAGGAUGUGCUCUUCGGGGGAAAGAUUAUCGCCAUUAGAGCGGCCCGCGUCUGAUUAGCUUGUUGGUGAGGUAAAGGCUCACCAAGGCUACGAUCAGUAGCUGGUCUGAGAGGAUGAUCAGCCACACUGGGACUGAGACACGGCCCAGACUCCUACGGGAGGCAGCAGUGGGGAAUCUUGCGCAAUGGGCGAAAGCCUGACGCAGCCAUGCCGCGUGAAUGAUGAAGGUCUUAGGAUUGUAAAAUUCUUUCACCGGGGACGAUAAUGACGGUACCCGGAGAGGAAGCUCCGGCUAACUUCGUGCCAGCCGCCGCGGUAACAC
rnacentral:rRNA from 1 species